rnacentral:rRNA from 1 species
CUGUAUUUAUUAGAUCUCAAAACCGAUACCCUUCGGGGUUUUAAAGGUGAAUCAUAAUAACUGCUGAAUUUAUUUUCUAAUCGAAUCGCAUGGCAACAGCCGGCGAUGAUUCAUUCAAAUUUCUGCCCUAUCAAUUGCCGACGGUAAGAUAGAGGCUUACCGUGGUUUCGACGGGUGACGGAGAAUUAGGGUUCGAUUCCGGAGAGUACGCCUGAGAGACGGCGAACACAUCCAAGGGAGGCAGCAGGCGCGCAAAUUACCCAAUCCUGACACAGGGAGGUAGUGACAAUAAAUAACGAUGGUGUUCCAACACGGAAUACCAAUUGGAAUGAGUACAAUUUAAACCCCUUAACGAGGAACAAUUGGAGGGCAAGUCUGGUGCCAGCAGCCGCGGUAAUCCCAGCUCCAAUAGCGUGUAUUAAUGCUGUUGCGGUUAAAAAGCUCGUAGUUGGAUUUUGGGGCUCUCCCUUUUCGGGAAUUCAUUUGGAGGCUGGUCCGGUGUAAACCGCGUACCGGCCGCCGGGCCCUUUCGUCUGGAGGCCGGGCGCAACGACUUGAUUGUCGUGCGAUUCCCCCGGUGUCUAGGACAAUUACUUUGAACAAGUUAGAGUGUUUAAAGCAGGCAUACUCGCCUUGAAUACAUUAGCAUGGAAUAACCACUUAGGACUUUGGUUCUAUUUUGUUGGUUUUAAGGACUAAAGUAAUGAUUAACAGGAACCGUUGGGGCCAUUAGUAUUUAGUUGCCAGAGGUGAAAUUCUUAGACUUACGAAAGACUAACUUCUGCGAAAGCACUUGGCAAGGAGGUUUUCAUUAAUCAAGAACGAAAGUUAGGGGAUCGAAGACGAUCAGAUACCGUCGUAGUCUUAACCAUAAACUAUGCCGACUAGGGAUUGGAAGAUGUUAUUUUCAUGACUCUCUCAGCACCUUAUGAGAAAUCAAAGUCUUUGGGUUCCGGGGGGAGUAUGGUCGCAAGACUGAAACUUAAAGGAAUUGGCGGAAGGGCACCACCAGGAGUGGAGCCUGCGGCUUAAUUUGACCCAACACGGGAAAACUCACCAGGUCCAGACGUAAUAAGGAUUGACAGAUUGAGAGCUCUUUCUUGAUUCUACGGGUGGUGGUGCAUGGCCGUUCUUAGUUGGUGGAGUGAUUUGUCUGCUUAAUUGCGAUAACGAACGAGU